CUUUACAAGUUGUGGUGCAGCCUUCCUCCUGUGGAAUGGGGCAAUGCACAUGAUGGCUAUGGUGCCCAGAUUCUAGGACACUGUGGCACAGGUUGGUGAGCAGCCAGCUGCAGCCAGCUGCAACAAAUCACUCUGACCAAGAAGAGGUCAUGAGUUCGAGGCCAGCUCGGAGCCUGUGUUUGUCUCUGUCUUUGUUCUAUGUUAAGGCAUUGAAUGUUUGCCUUAUAUGUGUAAUGUGAUCUGCUCUGAGAAGGAUGGAAUAUAAAUACUGUAAAUAAAUAAAUACAAUAAAUAGACUGGGGGCAACUGUGUAGAAGGUGUGGGCCUCCUGAAUGCCUUUUUGGUUUAUUGUACAUGUGAUCCCGGCCAUGAAAGCCUUCGACAACACAUCCAACAGGUUCUAUUCUGUUAUAGGGUUUAGUGCUCUCUAUUUUGUCCAGAGAUUUUAUCGCAAGAGGCAAGUAGUCUAGUAUUGUUGCCUUGGGCUCAAGACACGAUGUUGUUCCUUUCCUGACACUCUCUAAAUGGGAAAGAAGGUCAUUCAUGGACUAUUAUUUGUGUUGGUUUCACACUGAGAGAACGACGGGAACGGAGAAGUCCAAGCCACAUUCACUGUUAUCCUGAUAGAAUUGCGAUUUGCCCCAGCUUCUGCCAACCUAGCAAUUCAAAAACAUGCAAAUGCAAAGCGUAUCCAUAGCAAAGAUCUGAGCGUUGCUCCGCUGAUACCAUUUGAGUGCCUUCCUGAAGGCGAUUGUCUGUUGCCAUGGGUUUCUUCAAGGCUUCCUUCGUCUUUGUAAUAAAGGUGACAUGAGGCCUUCCAGUGGGAAACGCCCUCCCGACAGAAAGUGUGGGCCACAAAUAAACUGAUCCAAAUCAAGUAAGUAAGUAAGUGCCGUAUAUACUCUAAGAUAAAGUAAGUUUUUCAGCCCUUAUUUAUGAGCUGAAAAAGCCUCCCUCGUUGCUUGCAAUAUAGGAUCUAUUUAUCUCUCAUCUUGCCCUCCCUUAUCUGUGUUUACGUUUUUGUUACUUGCAAUAGAUUAUAUAUUUAUCUCUCAUCUUCCCCUCCCUUAUCAGUGUUUACUUUUCCGUUACUUGCAAUAUAUAUUUAUCUCUCAUCUUCCCCUCCCUUAUCAGUGUUUACUUUUCCAUUACUUGCAAUAUAUGAUAUAUUUAUCUCUCAUCUUACCCUCCCUUAUCAGUGUUUACUUUUCCGUUACUUGCAAUAUAUGAUAUAUUUAUCUCUCAUCUUACCCUCCCUUAUCAGUGUUUACUUUUCUGUUACUUGCAAUAUGAUAUAUUUAUCUCUCAUCUUGCCCUCCCUUAUCAGUGUUUACUUUUCCGUUACUUGCAAUAUAUGAUAUAUUU
rnacentral:lncRNA from 1 species